UGAGUAACGCGUGGGUAACCUGCCCUUAAGUCUGGGAUACCAUUUGGAAACAGAUGCUAAUACCGGAUAAAAGCUACUUUCGCAUGAAAGAAGUUUAAAAGGCGGCGUAAGCUGUCGCUAAAGGAUGGACCUGCGAUGCAUUAGCUAGUUGGUAAGGUAACGGCUUACCAAGGCGAUGAUGCAUAGCCGAGUUGAGAGACUGAUCGGCCACAUUGGGACUGAGACACGGCCCAAACUCCUACGGGAGGCAGCAGAG
rnacentral:rRNA from 1 species